rnacentral:misc_RNA from 1 species
CCUCCGUAGGUGAACCUGCGGAGGGAUCAUUACAGAGUUCAUGCCCUAACGGGUAGAUCUCCCACCCUAUGUUAUCAUCACUUUGUUGCUUUGGCGGGCCGUCAGGCCUCGGCUUGGCUACCGGCUCUCGCUGGCAAGCGCCCGCCAGAGAACCCCAAACCCUGAAUAUCAGUGUCGUCUGAGUACUAUAUAAUAGUUAAAACUUUCAACAACGGAUCUCUUGGUUCUG